GACGAACGCUGGCGGCGUGCCUAAUACAUGCAAGUCGAGCGAAUUGACGAGAAAAGCUUGCUUUUCUCUGAUGUUAGCGGCGGACGGGUGAGUAACACGUGGGUAACCUGCCUUGUAGACUGGGAUAACUUCGGGAAACCGGAGCUAAUACCGGAUAAUACUUUUGAACGCCUGUUCAAUGGUUGAAAGAUGGUUUCGGCUAUCACUACAAGAUGGACCCGCGGCGCAUUAGCUAGUUGGUGAGGUAACGGCUCACCAAGGCGACGAUGCGUAGCCGACCUGAGAGGGUGAUCGGCCACACUGGGACUGAGACACGGCCCAGACUCCUACGGGAGGCUG
rnacentral:rRNA from 1 species